GAGGGUAUAGCUCAGUGGUAGGGUGUGUGCUUAGCAUGCUCGAGGUCCUGAGUUCAAUUGCCUGUACCUCCA
rnacentral:tRNA from 1 species